CACUGUGACUAAUGGGAUGUUCUGAUUGACCAGACCUAGGUCCUGUGCCUUGGGAUUGGGGGUUAAGAGUUUAGAGAUUGGAGAUUUGAGUCGGGAUGUCAUGAGGUUCACCCCACUGGAACUGCAUGGACCGGAAGUGGGGGAUGGCGUGGCUUCCAGGAGAAACACUGAGGCGCUGUUAGCAGAGGAUGAGGGAUGGAUGCUGGGCUGGUGAGAACAGGUGUCACUGUAAUGCUCUGGAUGCUGCCGUGACCAACAAGCACAGACCAGUUGGUGCAAGUGGAAGCAGGAGAGUCCAGUAAGUCAAGUGCAAAAAAUGUUGAGUGAAGCCUGAGACCAGGGCUUAAGUCUCAGCUUUGCCACCUCCAUGCAGUGGGACCUACUCAGAGCAUCUGCCUUUCUGGGCCUCCAUUUUUCCAUCUGUGAAAUGAAGGCAUCCAGACUAGAUGACUGCCACGGGUUUCCCCAUUCAUUCAGUAUUUAUUCAUGUUUUUUCCUUCAAUCACUAUUUGUUGAAGGGCUUUGGAGUUAGUCUGACCCGAAUCUGUUUUGGCUGUUCUGAUGUUGUUGAGCUGCUUAGGCUUGACUGAUGCACCUCCCCCAGUGUGCUCAGCUGUGUCCUUCCCGGCCACCCGGCAGCCUUGGACGGGAUCCAGCCUCCUCUCGCUCUCCCUGCAGGUGGCCUGGGUCAGUGGCUGCAGGCAUUUGGCCAGCUCAGCCUGCAGUGAUGUGGCCUGAGUUGUGGUCCAGUCUCUCAACAUCCCCAGCUGUCAUCCGAGCAGUCCUGACCAAACCUUUGACAAGUGGGGGUGCGGUGGGAGUAGGGGCAGGAGGAGUAGGGGUAGUGGGUAGGGGACCCCAGGGUGGAUGGGGAUAGGGGUGGAGGGCCUCUGGCACCUCCCCUUCCACACUCAGGUGAAGCUCUGGGUGUGGAACUGGCUGCCCUCAUGGCUGCCCAGAGGCACAACUAACAGCCCAGAAGGGAGGAGCAUCUGGGUCCAACUCUGCCUAGUGGUAGACAGGAUAGGGGACCUGCCAGCAGAUGAAGUUCUUGCCCUUCAUCCCUGCAAUGUUUCAUGGGGCUCCUCCGGAGACACCCUGAGGGAUGGAGCUCCCGUGUUUUCUUGAGCAGCCAUGCCAACCAAGGAAGACAUGUCUUUCCUCCUUCCCUGCCUCACAGUCUCUCAUCCUCCGCUUUUUUUGGGCUAGGAUUAUAUCCCCAGUAAAGUGCAUUAGCAUGUAAGUUUUGCCUCAUGCUUUAUUUUCUAGGGAACCUACCUACACUGGGAUGCUAGCUGUGUGACCUCGAGCAAUUUGCUAAACCUCUCUGAGCUUCAGAGCCAUCAUCUCUAAAGGAGAUAAUAUUAGAGUAUCUUUUACAGGAUUGUGGUGUUUAAUGAGACAGUACAUGCAAAGUUCUUGGCUCAGUGUCAGCUUUUAUUAGUAUUGUUACUGUGAAUGAGGCACUGGAUUGUAUCAUGUGAAAACAUUUAUUCAACACUAAAAUCCAUGAAUAUUUAUUGUCAGCUCUGUUUCAGGUACUAUGCUAGUCUCUGCUCCCAUGGGCUCAUAGUCUAGAAAGUGAGACAGAGCACUAACUGGGCAACUCUGCCACAGUGCUGUCAGCGCUCUAGUCCCGGGGAGAGGCUUCAGAAACCGUGGCAUGGUACUCGGGGAGGGCUUCUCCGAGGAGCUGAUGUUAAGGCUGAAGCAUAUGUAGUUGUUGCAGAUGAUGUGCAGGUAGAAGAUGAAGUGGUCCAGACAGGGCAUGGCAUGGGCAAAGGCACAGUGUUGAGGGGAAAACAUUUCAAAGAAUAUACUGGCUCUUACCCUCAGGAAGCACAUAGAUUACAGGAGAAACACAAUGGAUAAAUAUGCACUGAUGAAAAUACAUAAAUAUGGUCUUUGGCAAGGAGUUUGAGUUCUAGAGCUACUCAAUAUAGUAGCCCUAACCACAUGUGACUCUUUAGAUUUAAUCAAAAUUCAAUCAAAUUUAAAAUUCGGUUUCUCAGUCCCAUUGGCCCCAUUUCAAGUGCUCAGUAGUCACGUGUGGCUGAUGUUGGACAGUGCAGGUACAAAACAUCUCCAUCAUUGCAGAACGGUCUAUUGGACAGAGCUGCCAGAGAGUCAGAACAGGCAGCCAAAUCAGGACAGACUUCCAGGAGGAGGCAGAUGGCAGAGAGGGGACUCUGGGAAAGUCCUUGGGUGACACUGCCCUCUAUCCUCAGUUGGAGAAAAGCCAGGACAGGGAGCGGGGCUGGGGGUGUUGGCUCUGAAACAGUGUACGACCUGACGCCUCCUGGAUCAGGGUAUAAUCUCUGGGUGUGUGCUGGCUGGCAGCCUCUCACCGAGAAGGGGAGGCAGAGGACUGCACAGGGAAUCAGCCGAAGAGGCUGAACCAGGAAGUCCUGCCCCCUCUGCAGCCAGGAGGACUGUGGGAAUUGCAGUUUGGCACUUCUGGAUUCUCUCAAAGCUUGACAGGUGCAGAAAAGCUGACAAAGGGUUCGGCUGGGCAUUUUGGGGGGCAAAGAGGGAGGGCUGGUCAGGGCUGGGGACACAUCUGGGUUUGGGGUUACCACCAAUAGAGGUAGGAGGAGGACUGCCUUCUCUCCUCUACUGCUCAAGUUCUGGGAUAGAGAGAUGCCAAAGUGGAGGACUAUGUUAGCUGGGGAGCUGAGAAAACAUGCAACAUUUGGUUAACCAGACUGGCACAUUAUGGUUAAUCGAGAUUUGCCCAGGAGAGAACAAGUUUCCGUAAUGUUAUGGAGGAGAGGUGACAGGUGGUAUGCUAUCAGCUGUUUGUCAUUCAUGCAUGUAAUCCAGUAUUUAUUGAGCCCAGUAUUUACUCAACAAUUACUAUGUGCCAAGCCCUGCUGGGAGUCAGGAAUGAAGAAGACAGACAAUACAAAGAUGUGGCAAGAGAUCUCUACACCAAUUCUGAAGCCACAUCAUGUGAUUUUUUUUUUCAGGUGAUACUUUUAUUUAAAGCUCUAUAUGUUAUUUUGAUCUUUUCAUUAAACAUGUAGUUAACAAUUUUCUUAUCCUUGUUACCUUUUUAUUUGGAAGGUUCUCAAACUUACAGAAAAGUUGCAGGAAUGACUUAUUUUGAAUGAACACCUGUAAACUGUUUACUCAGAUUCACCAAUUGUUAAUAUUUUGCACAUUUGCCCUCUCUCAAUUUCUCUCUCUUCUCAUCCACCUCACCAUUUGAGAGUAGGUUGCAAACAUAAAUUGUCACCCCUAAAAUUUUAGCAUGUCUCCUAAGAACAGGGCAUUCUUUUGUGCAACCACUAUGCAACUAUCAAAUCCAAAAACUGAACACUGAUAUAUUAUCUAAUAUAUAAAUUUAUAUAAACCACAUUUAUGUUUAUUAUUAUAUAAACCAUAUUAAAAUUUCACCCACUGUCUCAAUAUCUCUGUAACAUUUUUUCUGACCCAGGAUCCAAUUUAGUAUCAUUCAUCAGUGAUAUUUCUUUCUAACUUUAUAGGCCCGCCAGUUAUUCAUGCUGAGUACGUUUCCUUAGGAGCGUGUGUUACAAAUACAAAUUCAGUUUACCUGUCCAAUUAUUUUAUUAAUGUCUGUAAGCUCCACAAGAGCUUGGAUCUUGCCAGUUGCCACAGCCCCCUGCACACAAUAGGUGCUUAAUAAAGAUCUAUGGAAUGAAAUGCGUGAAGGAAAGCAAAGCAGGCACUUUCUUGAGUAGGGGCGACUUUCCACGAUUCUCUCUAGAUUUGUCCAAAAGUUUAAUACUCCUAACCUUCCACUCCAGCACUUGCGUUGCACACAAUAGGCGCCCCAGCAUGGUGAGCACACUCCUGCCACGCCCGCCGGCCGUGCGCCCCAGGAUAAAAAGUACCCCCGCACGCCGCGAGGGGGCGGCAGCACUUCGCUCAGACUCCGCUAGCUCCCCAGCCGGCGCCUACAGCUCCAGGAACUCGACGGGCGAGCCUUUACCGGGCGCCUCCCGAGUUCCCCGAGCUGCACUUGGCUCUCGGGGGCGCAGAUCCGGUGACAGGUCGGUGUCCAUGGCGGGGGAUUCCGGCCGGAGUCUAGGGGUCGCUCCGGGAACGCAGGCUGAGACCAUGAGCUUGUUCUGAGUCGGGCGCUGCGGGGGUCGGCGCUCUCGGUUCGGGAGCACUUCCGGGAGAAGUGUCCCGGCCGAACUGGCGACCUCUGAACCGCCAGACCUUCCUCGGGUACCUCAGCCGGCCGCUGAGCGAGGGUGCCCCUGGCCGCGCUCCGCCCCGGACGUCUCCGCGCAGGCGCCACGGCCGCGGUUCCCAUGGCGACGGGGGGCGCGUCCCUGCCCGGGCCCCGCCCCCAGCAGGCUAGGCUGCGCGGGGCCGCGAGCGGCGCGGGCAGGUGCCACGGGUUUCGGGCAGGUGGUGACGCGGGCUGGCUGCGGCGGCUCCACGACCUGCCGAAAUUCAGCCCGCAGAGACGAGCUUCACCUCCCUGGCCGGCUUCUGCCACAGAAGUGUACAGACAGCCUCAUUUGCCAUGAGACGUGACCCCAUUGGCUUUCUCAGGCUGUUGCAGAGCCCCAGCCAGGGCCUGCCAGCUCCGGUGGUUGCUUCUCCAUUUGGGAUGUUCCUGAUCCCCAUGGAUCCACAACUGUAACCAUGGUGACACGGGUCGAAGUUGGCUCCGUAACUUCCCUGGCUAGAGUGCCCGGCCUGGGUGAGAUCGCCAAAGAGGAGACCCUGCAGCGGACCUACUUCUGCCAGGCCAGUGCCGCCCCCUCUGCAGCGCUGCUCCUGGAAGGGAAGAGCCCCCUCAGGAGCAGCCCGGCCUGUCUCCUCCCUCUGCCACGGCUCGCCCCCAAACCCUUCUCCACGGGCAAGGCCCAGGACCUGAAACCCCCCGCCACGUCCCUGCGGCCCAGCCCGUCCGGGCUGUCUCCUCCUUGUGGCCUCUCCCAGGACGCAGAGGCCAAGCAUCUGGGCAAGAGGAUGCCCAGCCUGGUGGGGCAGGAGGUGGGGAGCGGGGAGGGCCUGAGGAGAGGCUCAUCUCUGUUCAGCAAGGCUGCGAUUCUGCAGCCAGGCCCCAAGGCCAUGACUCUCUUGGAAACUGCCAAAGCCAGCCCUACUCUGGGGAAGGGGAGUGGUGAGGGGUCUCAGAAGGCUGGCGCAGGGGAGUCUC